rnacentral:rRNA from 1 species
GACGAACGCUGGCGGCGUGCUUAACACAUGCAAGUCGAACGAAGUGGCGAACGGGUGAGUAACGCGUAAUAAACCUGCCCUUCAGAGGGGGACAACAGUUGGAAACGACUGCUAAUACAGCAUACGAAAGGAGGGGAUUGCGUCUGAUUAGCUAGUUGGAGGGGUAACGGCCCACCAAGGCGAUGAUCAGUAGCCGGUCGGAGAGGAUGAACGGCCAAAAUGGGACUGAGACACGGCCCAGACUCCUACGGGAGGCAGCAGUGGGGAAUCUUCCGAAAUGGACGAAAGUCUGACGGAGCAACGCCGCUUGAGUGAUGACGGCCUUCGGGUUGUAAAGCUAUGUUAAUCGGGACGCGGUACCGGAAGAGAAAGCCACGGCUAACUACGUGCCAGCAGCCGCGGUAAUAC